rnacentral:rRNA from 1 species
AUGUUCGACCAGGCUGUGCAGCUAGGGAUACUUGGCCCCAUUGGACACCAAAAUCUGCCCUUCAGAACAUCGCUUUACGUGGACGACGCUGUGUUUUUCAUCAAUCCGAGAGCGUGUGAAAUCCAGGCGGUCAGGAGCAUGCUGUUGCUGUUCGGGGAGGCCACAGGACUCAAGUGCAAUUUUUCCAAGUCAUCAGUCACGCCCAUAUACUGUGAGGGGGUGGAUGUUGGGUCGAUCCUUCAAGGCCUGGAAUGUCCGCUCAAGCCUUUCCCCUGUCAAUAUUUGGGCAUGCCCAUCUCAGACUCAAAAUUGAAAAAAGGGGAACUACAACCGGUG